GCCAAAGUCAUAACAGAGAAUUGAAACUGGUAUAUCGAAAGGAAGAGGCAGGUGUUUUGCAGUUGGCAUUUACCUUUGUCUACAUGCACUUUUAAGUCCAGAUAGGCCACAGCUGAGCUGGCGAGCACAAGCAAACAGAUUGCUCUUCCGAAUCCUGAAGCCAGUAUCAGGAUGUCCUUCCACAGAAAAGCGACAAUGUUUUCAUGAAUGUGGACUUGGUCAAAUACUGCAUAUAUAUUAGUAGG